GACGAAUGCUGGCGGCGUGCCUAAUACAUGCAAGUCGAGCGCAGGAAAUCGACGGAACCCUUCGGGGGGAAGUCGACGGAAUGAGCGGCGGACGGGUGAGUAACACGUAAAGAACCUGCCCUCAGGUCUGGGAUAACCACGAGAAAUCGGGGCUAAUACCGGAUGGGUCAUCGGACCGCAUGGUCCGAGGAUGAAAGGCGCUCCGGCGUCGCCUGGGGAUGGCUUUGUGGUGCAUUAGCUAGUUGGUGGGGUAAUGGCCCACCAAGGCGACGGAGGAUGGCAGACCGGAGGGGGUGAUCGGCAACACCGGGUAUGAAACACGGCCCAGACGCCUACGGGAGGCAGCAGGAGGGAAUCUUCCACAAUGGACGAAAGUCGGAUGGAGCAACGCCGCGUGAGCGAUGAAGGCCUUCGGGUCGUAAAGUUCUGUUGUAAGGGAAGAACAAGUGCCGCAGGCAAUGGCGGCACCUUGACGGUACCUUGCGAGAAAGCCACGGCUAACUACGUGCCAGCCGCCGCGGUAAUAC
rnacentral:rRNA from 1 species